CCUACGGGGGGCAGCAGUGGGUGAUAUUGCACAAUGGGGGAAACCCUGAUGCAGCGACGCCGCGUGUGGGAAGACGGUCCUCUGGAUUGUAAACCACUGUCCCCAGGGACGAAAAUGACGGUACCUGGGGAGGAAGCUCCGGCAAACUACGUGCCAGCAGCCGCGGUAAUCCGUAGGGAACGAGCGUUGUCCGGAUUUACUGGGGGUAAAGGGAGCGUAGGCGGGGAUGCAAGUUGGGUGGCAAAACUACCGGCUCAACUGGUAGUCGCACUCAAAACUGCAGCUCUUGAGUGAAGUAGAGGAAGGUGGAAUUCCUAGUGUAGCGGUGAAAUGCGUAGAGAUUAGGAGGAACACCAGUGGCGAAGGCGGCCUGCUGGGCUUUUACUGACGCUGAGGCUCGAAAGUGUGGGGAGCAAACAGGAUUAGAUACCCUUGUAGUC
rnacentral:rRNA from 1 species